rnacentral:rRNA from 1 species
GAGCGGUAGAGAGAAGCUUGCUUCUCUUGAGAGCGGCGGACGGGUUGAGUAAUGCCUAGGAAUCUGCCUGGUAGUGGGGGAUAACGUUCGGAAACGGACGCUAAUACCGCAUACGUCCUACGGGAGAAAGCAGGGGACCUUCGGGCCUUGCGCUAUCAGAUGAGCCUAGGUCGGAUUAGCUAGUUGGUGGGGUAAUGGCUCACCAAGGCGACGAUCCGUAACUGGUCUGAGAGGAUGAUCAGUCACACUGGAACUGAGACACGGUCCAGACUCCUACGGGAGGCAGCAGUGGGGAAUAUUGGACAAUGGGCGAAAGCCUGAUCCAGCCAUGCCGCGUGUGUGAAGAAGGUCUUCGGAUUGUAAAGCACUUUAAGUUGGGAGGAAGGGCCAUUACCUAAUACGUGAUGGUUUUGACGUUACCGACAGAAUAAGCACCGGCUAACUCUGUGCCAGCAGCCGCGGUAAUACAGAGGGUGCAAGCGUUAAUCGGAAUUACUGGGCGUAAAGCGCGCGUAGGUGGUUUGUUAAGUUGGAUGUGAAAUCCCCGGGCUCAACCUGGGAACUGCAUUCAAAACUGACUGACUAGAGUAUGGUAGAGGGUGGUGGAAUUUCCUGUGUAGCGGUGAAAUGCGUAGAUAUAGGAAGGAACACCAG